GGGUAUGGCUGUUCGCCAUUUAAAGUGGUACGCGAGCUGGGUUUAGAACGUCGUGAGACAGUUCGGUCCCUAUCUGCCGUGGGCGCUGGAGAAUUGAGGGGGGCUGCUCCUAGUACGAGAGGACCGGAGUGGACGCAUCACUGGUGUUCGGGUUGUCAUGCCAAUGGCACUGCCCGGUAGCUAAAUGCGGAAGAGAUAAGUGCUGAAAGCAUCUAAGCACGAAACUUGCCCCGAGAUGAGUUCUCCCUGAGACCUUGAGUCUCCUGAAGGAACGUUAAAGACUAUGACGUUGAUAGGUCGGGUGUGUAAGCGCAGCGAUGCGUUGAGCUAACCGAUACUAAUGAACCGUGAGGCUUAACCUU
rnacentral:rRNA from 1 species